CCCUUAGAUGUCCUGGGCCGCACGCGCGUUACACUGAUGCAUUCAACGAGCUUAUAACCUUGGCCGAGAGGCCUGGGCAAUCUUGUUAACGUGCAUCGUGAUAGGGAUAGAUUAUUGAAAUUAUUAAUCUUGAACGAGGAAUUCCUAGUAAACGCAGAUCAUCAAUCUGCAUUGAUUACGUCCCUGCCCUUUGUACACACCGCCCGUCGCACCUACCGAUUGGAUGGUCCGGUGAAGCCUCGGGAUUGUGGUUCUUGCCGCUUUAUUGUGGCGUGACCGCGAGAACUUGUCUAAACCUUAUCAUCUAGAGGAAGGGGAAGUCGUAACA
rnacentral:rRNA from 1 species